CCCUCCUAAAUGGAUUAGGGUCUGAAAAACUCAUAGAUUGUUGUGUUGUUCAUCACCUUCAUUUCUUGUUUAACCCACGAGAUAGGAGACAAAUACCAGCACUACAUCU